AGAGUUUGAUCCUGGCUCAGAUUGAACGCUGGCGGCGUGCCUAACACAUGCAAGUCGAGCGGCAGCGCGGGAGCAAUCCUGGCGGCGAGCGGCGGACGGGUGAGUAACGCUUGGGAAUCUGCCUGUUAGUGGGGGACAACCCGGGGAAACUCGGGCUAAUACCGCAUACGCACUACGGUGGAAAGCCGGGGACCGCAAGGCCUGGCGCUAACAGAUGAGCCCAAGUCGGAUUAGCUAGUUGGUAGGGUAACGGCCUACCAAGGCGACGAUCCGUAACUGGUCUGAGAGGACGACCAGUCACACCGGAACUGAGACACGGUCCGGACUCCUACGGGAGGCAGCAGUGGGGAAUAUUGGACAAUGGGCGAAAGCCUGAUCCAGCGACGCCGCGUGGGUGAAGAAGGCCUGCGGGUUGUAAAGCCCUUUCAGUGGGGAAGAAAAGCCUCGAGCUAACAUCUCGGGGUCUUGACGUAACCCAUAGAAGAAGCACCGGCUAACUCUGUGCCAGCAGCCGCGGUAAUACAGAGGGUGCGAGCGUUAAUCGGAAUUACUGGGCGUAAAGCGCGCGUAGGCGGCUUUGCAAGUCGGGUGUGAAAUCCCCAGGCUUAACCUGGGAACUGCAUUCGAGACUGCAUUGCUAGAGUAUGGGAGAGGGAAGUGGAAUUUCAGGUGUAGCGGUGAAAUGCGUAGAUAUCUGAAGGAACAUCAGUGGCGAAAGCGACUCGCUGGACCACACCUGACGCUGAGACGCGAAAGCGUGGGGAGCGAACAGGAUUAGAUACCCUGGUAGUCCACGCCGUAAACGAUGGACACUAGGUGUGGGCGGAGUCGAAUCUGUCCGUGCCGAAGCCAACGCGAUAAGUGUCCCGCCUGGGGAGUACGGCCGCAAGGCUAAAACUCAAAGGAAUUGACGGGGGCCCGCACAAGCAGCGGAGCAUGUUCUUUAAUUCGAUGCAACGCGAAGAACCUUACCUGGACUUGACAUGGAGCUGCAAGCGCACGGAAACGUGUGACCUUCGAGGGUGCUCCACAGAUGCUGCAUGGCUGUCGUCAGCUCGUGUCGUGAGAUGUUGGGUUAAGUCCCGCAACGGGCGCAACCCCUGUGGUGUGUUGCCAGCAUUAAGUUGGGGACUCACGCCAGACUGCCGGUGACAAACCGGAGGAAGGUGGGGACGACGUCAAGUCAUCAUGGCUCUUACGUCCAGGGCUAGAAACGUGCUACAAUGGCGUAUACAAAGGGUUGCGAGACCGCGAGGUGGAGCGAAUCCCAUCAAAGUACGUCUAAGUUCGGAUCGCAGUCUGCAACUCGACUGCGUGAAGGCGGAGUUGCUAGUAAUCGCGGAUCAGCAUGCCGCGGUGAACACGUUCCCGGGCCUUGUACACACCGCCCGUCACACCACGGGAGUAGGCAAUACCCGAAGUAGGCGCAGCCAACCGGCUUGUCCGGAGGCGGUCUGCGAAGGUAGGGUUUGCGACUGGGGUGAAGUCGUAACAAGGUAACC
rnacentral:rRNA from 1 species